UACAGAGGGUGCAAGCGUUAAUCGGAAUUACUGGGCGUAAAGCGCGCGUAGGUGGUUUGUUAAGUUGGAUGUGAAAUCCCCGGGCUCAACCUGGGAACUGCAUUCAAAACUGACAAGCUAGAGUAUGGUAGAGGGUGGUGGAAUUUCCUGUGUAGCGGUGAAAUGCGUAGAUAUCUGGAGGAACACCGGUGGCGAAGGCGGCAUCCUGGACCAACACUGACGCUGAGGAGCGAAAGCCAGGGGAGCAAACGGG
rnacentral:rRNA from 1 species